rnacentral:lncRNA from 1 species
UCCCAACAGCAAGAGCCUUUUGGAAUAUUAUUUCCAUGGCAUCGGGCAUCUGAGCAGCAGCUGCAACACAAUCCGCAGAUAUCAUGUCAAUAGCAAAACCAGUAAGGUAAACACCACAAGAAGACAUUGAUAUAUAGACUAACCAUCCAUAUUACUUAUGUGGUCCGAUAACUUCUCUGCACGAUUAUAUGCCGCAACAAAUUCUUGCUCCGCCCACUUGCAGGCAGAUGAAGGUCUGUCUAAAUCCAUUUUAUUUGCUCUGCCACCAUGAUCAGGAUUCGACUCAUUAGCUGAACUGCUUUCAGGUAAUUCACUUCCUGCACUUGAGGCCAGCCAGGAGUUGCAAAUAUGAAGAGCUUUCUUCCAUAUGGCCAAAACAACUAGUUCAACUGAAAAUGAUUCCAGAAACAAUCCUGCAUUGUGCUGCA